rnacentral:rRNA from 1 species
UACGUAGGGUGCGAGCGUUAAUCGGAAUUACUGGGCGUAAAGCGUGCGCAGGCGGUUUUGUAAGCCAGAUGUGAAAGCCCCGGGCUUAACCUGGGAAUGGCAUUUGGGACUGCAAGGCUGGAGUGUGGCAGAGGAGACUGGAAUUCCUGGUGUAGCAGUGAAAUGCAUAGAUAUCAGGAGGAAUACCGAUGGCGAAGGCAGGUCUCUGGGCUGACACUGACGCUCAUGCACGAAAGCGUGGGGAGCAAACAGG